GAUCAUGGCUCAGGAUGAACGCUAGCUACAGGCUUAACACAUGCAAGUCGAGGGGAAACGAUAUUGGAAGCUUGCUUCCGAUAGGCGUCGACCGGCGCACGGGUGAGUAACGCAUAUCCAACCUGCCCACCACUUGGGGGAUAACCUUGCGAAAGUAAGACUAAUACCCAAUGAUAUCUCUAGAAGACAUCUGAAAGGGAUUAAAGAUUUAUCGGUGAUGGAUGGGGAUGCGU
rnacentral:rRNA from 1 species